rnacentral:tRNA from 1 species
GCCGGCGUAGCUCAGUUGGCAGAGCGGCUCACUCGUAAUGAGCAGGUCCGGGGUUCGAUUCCCCGCGCCGGCU